AGCGUUUGAAGUUUGCAAAUGAACAUAUAGACAAGCCUGAUGCAUUGUGGAAACAAGUUCUGUGGACCGAUGAGCAAAGGUACGUUUGGAGAAGAAAGGGCACAGAAUUUAAUGAAAAGGACCUCUGUCCAACUGUUAAGCAUGGGGGUGGAUCAAUCAUGCUUUGGGGUUGUAUUGCAGCCAGUGGCACAGGGAACAUUUCACGAGUAGAAGGAAAAAUGGAUUCAAUAAAAUUUCAGCAAAUUUUGGACGCUAACUUGAUGCCAUCUGUGAAAAAGCUGAAGUUAAAGAGAGGAUGGCUUCUACAAAUGGAUAAUGAUCCUAAACACACCUCAAAAUCCACGGUGGAUUACAUCAAGAGGCGUAAACUGAAGGUUUUGCCAUGGCCUUCACAAUCUCCUGACCUCAACAUAAUUGAAAAUCUAUGGAUAGACCUUAAAAGAGCAGUGCGUGACAGACAGCCCAGAAAUCUCAAAGAACUGGAAGACUUUUGUAAGGAAGAAUGGGCGAAGAUACCUCAAACAAGAAUUGAAAGACUCUUGGCUGGCUACAAAAAGUGUUUACAAGCUGUGAUACUUGCCAAAGGGGGCGGUGCAUGCUAUAAACUCUGCAGGGUGCCCAAACUUUUGCAGACGCCAUUUUUUUGUUUUCUGUUAUUUUGAAAGUGUAAAUGAUGGAAAUAAAAUCUAACUUUUUUUGACAUAU